CCCUAAAAAACCGAAUCUCAGUUCGGAUUGAAGUCUGAAAUUCGACUUCAUGAAGCUGGAAUUGCUAGUAAUGGCAGGUCAGCAUACUGCCGUGAAUACGUUCCCGGGCCUUGUACACACCGCCCGUCACACCAUGAGAGUCGGGAACACCCGAAGUCCGUAGCCUAACCGCAAGGGGGGCGCGGCCGAAGGUGGGUUCGAUAAUUGGGGUGAAGUCGUAACAAGGUAGC
rnacentral:rRNA from 1 species